AAUAUUGGACAAUGGGGGCAACCCUGAUCCAGCCAUGCCGCGUGUGUGAAGAAGGUCUUCGGAGUGUAAAGCACUUUAAGUCGGGAGGAAGGGCUGUAGGUUAAUACCCUGAAGAUUUGACGUUACCAACAGAAUAAGCACCGGCGAACACGGGGCCAGCAGUUGCGGUAAUACAGAGGGUGCAAGCGUCAAUCGGACUUACUGGGCGUAAAGCAGGCGUCGGUGGUUCAGUAAGCAGGGAGUGGAAUAACCCGGCUUAACCUGGGAGCUGCUGUCAUAACUGCUGAGCUAGAGUACGGUAGAGGGUGGUGGAAUUACCUGUGUAGCGGUGAAAUGAGUAGAUAUAGGAAGGAACACCAGUGGCGAAGGAGACUACCUGGACUGAUACUGACACUGAGGUGCGAAAGAGUGGGGAGCAAAC
rnacentral:rRNA from 1 species